rnacentral:pre_miRNA from 1 species
AGAGAGAUAGCUGGGUCAUAUGGUAGUUCCAUUUCUAAUUUUUUUGAGGAAUCUCCAUACUGCUUUCCAAAUUGGUUGUACUGAUUUACAGGCCCAUUAACAAU